UACGGAGGAGGCAAGCGUUAUCCGGAAUUAUUGGGCGUAAAGCGUCCGCAGGUGGCACUUCAAGUCUGUCGUCAAAGACUGGGGCUUAACCCUGGAAAGGCGGUGGAAACUGAAGCGCUAGAGUGCGGUAGGGGUAGAGGGAAUUCCCGGUGUAGCGGUGAAAUGCGUAGAUAUCUGGAGGAACACCGGUGGCGAAGGCGGCAUCCUGGACCGGCAUUGACGCUGAGGAUCGAAAGCCAGGGGAGCAAACGGG
rnacentral:rRNA from 1 species